ensembl:lncRNA novel transcript, antisense to ACTR1A
UACUGAGCUUUCUCUGUCUCUAGCGUCUCAUCCUUUUGGGGGUUUAUGGAUAGGUAACAGGCUCUCUGCAGAUCCAAGCAAGACAGUCAGGCUGGCAGGAAAUCUGGUGCACAUCCAGUCAAAGGCCCAGGGGAGGAAUGUGCUGCUGCACAAACCUGUCUAAACGUUGUGAUGGCCCCAAUGGUCACUAUAGCUGCUGCCCAGAAGCAGGGGCAGUGAGGUCUCUGUUGGCCUUCACUGGGUGGCAUUUAGCAUAUGAGUUCUUAACCGCUCCACCUUCCUGAUGGGCAAGCUUGGAAACUUGGCCCCUGGAUCCUAGGUCUGAGACCACAACCUAAGUUCAGCCCAGGCCCAGGCAUCUUUCUCCUUCUACCACUCAUAUGGUUCUGGUCCUACCCAGCUCGAGUUUUCCCUAUAGCCACAGGUGGCAGGAGGUUUCAGUUUACUUACAAAGACAAAUGUUUUAAAUGUAUUAUGACUUCUUCAAGGAUGUUAAAAAAAUAAAAAUAAAAAAACCAGGA